CCCUUAGAUGUUCUGGGCCGCACGCGCGCUACACUGACCAGUGCAACAAGCAUCCGUCCUUGGCCGACAGGCCCGGGCAAUCUUUGAACGCUGGUCGUGAUGGGGAUAGACUUUUGCAAUUUUUGGUCUUCAACGAGGAAUUCCUAGUAAACGCAAGUCAUCAACUUGCAUUGAUUACGUCCCUGCCCUUUGUACACACCGCCCGUCGCACCUACCGAUUGAAUGGCCCGGUGAAGCCUCCGGAUUGGCGCGCACCUCGGUGCCGCCGAGAAGUUGGCUAAACCUUACCAUUUAGAGGAAGGUGAAGUCGUAACA
rnacentral:rRNA from 1 species